rnacentral:rRNA from 1 species
UAGGGAAUCUUCCACAAUGGACGAAAGUCUGAUGGAGCAACGCCGCGUGAGUGAAGAAGGUCUUCGGAUCGUAAAGCUCUGUUGUUGGUGAAGAAGGAUAGAGGCAGUAACCGGUCUUUAUUUGACGGUAAUCAACCAGAAAGUCACGGCUAACUACGUGCCAC